GUCAAGUAGUGUCGAAAGAGAUGAGUUUUCAGCUGUUGCUUGAAGAUUGACAGGGAUCCAGCACUCCGAAUAUGGGUGGGAAGAUCAUUCCACCAGCCAGGAAUGGUGAACGAGAAUGUUCUGGAGAGUGAUUUUGAGCCUCUUUGUGAUGGUACCACGAGGCGUCGCUCACUAGCAGAUCUCAGAUUUCUGGAGGGGAUGUAGAUUCUUAAUAGAGAGUGCAUGUAGGCGGGUGCUGAGCCUGUGGUUGUUCUAUGAGCAAGCAUCAGUGUCUUGAACUUGAUGCGAGCUGCAAUUGGUAGCCAAUGCAAUGAGAUAAAGAGAGGUGUAACAUGGGCUCUUUUGGGUUCCUUGAAGACCAGUCGUGCCGCCGCAUUCUGAAUCAUUUGUAGAGGUUUGACUGUGUUUGAUGGAAGUCCAGCCAGAAGAGCAUUGCAGUAGUCCAGCCUAGAAAUGACAAGGGCCUGGACAAGAAGUUGUGCAGCAUGCUCCGUCAGAAAGGGCCUGAUCUUUCUGAUGUUGUGUAGUGCAAACCUGCAAGAUCGAGCAGUCUUUGCAAUGUGGUCUUUGAAGGUCAGCUGGUCAUCAAAGAUUACACCAAGAUUUCUGACCGAAGUUGAUGGGGUAAUUGUUGAUGAACCUAACUGGAUCGUGAUGUCAUGCUGUAGAUUUGGAGUGGCAGGAAAGACAAGAAGCUCAGUCUUUGCCAGGUUGAGCUGAAGGUGAUGUUCUUUCAUCCAUGCCGAGAUGUCCGCCAGGCAACCUCGGCCAAGUCUUGCAUCGACUUGGACCCCGAGAAAUAUCAUAAUUGAUGUGGCUCUUUAGUAAACCACCUAGCAACCACACAGAACAUCCUAGUAACCGCAGAGGAAAUCACUGAAACCGCAGAUCACCUGGUCAGGUGGAGCAGGUGCAGAUCUUCAAAUCAAUGUCAGGAAUUUGAUGGCAUCAGGAUCCCACAAGUGAUAAACGCGCCAAAUGCUACAUCAUCGAGUGCAACUGGAUUUCUGACUCUGUGACUCGGAUUAUAUUAUUCCCAAUUACAGGGUUCAGGUGAAACACCAGGAAGAAGAAUCCAGCACUGGAUGAUCAGCCUUGAGGAGCACAUCAUUUGUGAGGGCAUCCAGCCAGCUUUUCUGUCUGGGCUUGCAGCUGAUUUUUCUACUUACAACAAUUUCAAUCUUCAAUACCAAGCUGAAGACGCAUGCACGUUGGAAUUUAUUCAAAGGUGGUUCAUCGAGAUAAAUCCGGAAAAGGGACCAGGGCUGGAGGAGUCAUAUCAAAGCUGAUGGGGAAGGUCACCCAGAAAAAGAAAACCGUGAACCCUCGUGUCUGCAGUCUACUUAAAAAAAUUUAUGGAUUUUGAGUUGGACUUUAUACAAGUAUUACACACCACAGACCACACACACACUCACAUCACACA